UCUCCGUUGGUGAACCAGCGGAGGGAUCAUUACUGGAAUCGCAAGAUCCCACAACCCCUGUGAACCUACCGAAACGUUGCCUCGGCGGGCGCCCGGCCCUGCGCCGGGCGCUGAGCCCGCCGGCGGCCCCCUACUCCUUUCUCUGCAGCGUGGCAUCUCAAAAACCCAGAAAACAAGUAAAAACUUUCAACAACGGAUCUCUUGGCUCUA
rnacentral:misc_RNA from 1 species